rnacentral:lncRNA from 1 species
GUUCAAUGUUCAUGUUAAAACGCAGUCUUCCGUUUCUUCGUCCCGAGGAUGGUUUUGCAACUACACAAUUUGAAGCACAUAUAUAAGUCUUGAUUUCAUUUCAUCAUGUAAUAGCUGAUCAACGUACCUCACUCGUUCUUCCAAAGUAGGACCCCAUAAUAACCUCUGAUUCUUCAGGGUCUUCUUCAUGCCCCAUGCCAAUGUCCGAAUCCCCAAUGUAUUCAUAUUCAUUGCCGGAGCCCAUCAUGGACUGAAAAAAGAAAUGAAACCAUACGCGUCAUAACUUGGCGUCACGUUCCUUGUAUUUUUCAUCACUUCAGGUAUGAAUAGGAAACGAGGUAUACAACUUAAAUCGCUCGUAGUCCGAAUUAGUAGGAUCGGCCUGCUCAUGAUCAACACCUACUUCGUGCUCAAGCCUCACGUUUUCGUCGUCGGUUCCUUCGCCAAGGGCCCGUUCCUAGGACUAGACGACGUAGAUUCAUUAUCCAAACUAGAAGCCCCGCCCGCGUAUCCGUUGUCGUCCUCCAUACCUCAGCACUGCACAACCACAUGAACUUGCGAUGUUAUUGAUCAUGAAAAAGCCAGAAUAUAUAGGUGGCUACCGGGGUGGUGGAGCUAAACUAUAGCGCUGGCUAGGCUAACCUACAUGAGGUUGGCGUGCACGCCAAUAGCAUGAAAGCACGGCAUUACCUUCGGACGAACGGAGGAGGCGAGAACCACGGCAGGGUUGGUCGAACGAGACCACUCCGUCGAGAUAUGUGCCGGCCGCCGGAGUUUUCACGGAGAUCUGUGUAAAAGGAUGGCGAGGUGGUGUCGGGUCACUUCAACCGGACAGAAUUGCAGAUGGCGGCCGCCGCAUGAUUUUUUUGGAAACCGCCAGCCGAGAAUGUAUUGCGUGCGCAAUUCGUGGCGUUGAUCCGGCCGUUUCUGUUUUUGUUUUGCUUUUCUUUUCUUUUUUCCUAUUUACAUUCGCGGGCGGGUUACCUCGACGCCGUAGACGAAUACGUACGCGACUACGGGGAUUAUACAGGGCUUGGAUAUGGGCUUACAGCGGGCUAUACCUACAGGGGCCUGACUUAAGUCGCAGGGCCUUGGAAACCCGAUGACUUGCGCUGGGGGUGGGGGUGGGGGUGUUCACCUUGCUAGGGAUGCUCUUAAACUAUCAGCUUGCUAGUAAAAGGUAAAAGAAAUGCUCUUAAACUAUCAGUUGAGUCACCUUGCUAGGGAUUUACUGCUUACCAUCAUUUGUUUUCCAACAAUUAGCCAUUAAACCUCUUUUACCUUUUACUACCGAGGUAAUAACACCCGUAGUACAUAAACUUGACACAUGCGAGCAGUUUCAUACAAGAACUUG